GAUUCAUCGAGAACCGUGACCUGCCUAAAGAAGCUCAUGGAUUCAAAGUAGAUGCACACCGUAACACGAAAGCGGCAGGAGUACAUGUUGAUGUCCAUAACAAGAAGCCGUCGCCGUCGGCAUUUGGAUCCUGUUGCUGUGACUUCCUCCGUGCCAAAGUCUUGUUUUCGCGUCGUCGAUGGUGAUGCGGUCGUUUGAUGCGUUGUUGCGCUCGUGAUUUAUGAUGAAGAUGGCGACGUAGCUUGCACGGAGUUACGGAAAAUGCGUUGCAGAACGAUGUGUAUUGCUAUGAAAACAUGGAGGGAGUUUCAAUCUGCUAAGAAAAAGUGGCAGCUCUCCUUUCAACCGAUGCAUAUGCAAUGCCGUGAUGAAUGGAAGCAUAUGGAUAUGGAUUUGGAUAUGGAUUUGGACAUGGAUUUGGGGCAGCUCAUGGAAUGCUCGAAUUGCCCUUAGAUUUUGUGUUGUCAUGAAAAAUAUUGAGAUUUUGUAAUGUAGUUUUAGGAUUGAAAUUGAAAAUGGUUGUGUAACGCAUUUUGGAAACAAAGGUUAUAAUUAAAAAUUUGAUAAACACA